rnacentral:sRNA from 1 species
AUUACGUAUAUGGAUGGGACAACAAAGA